UGUCACAGGCGCCUGCCACCACACCCACCUAAUUUUUUUGUAUUUUUAGUAGAGACGGGGUUUCACCGUGUUAGCCAGGGUGGUAUCGAUCUCCUGACCUUGUGAUCCGCCCACCUUGGGCUCCCAAAGUGUUGAGAUUACAGGCGUAAGCCACUGCACCCGGCAAUAAACCUCUUUCUUUUGUAAAUUGCCCAGGUAUGUCUUUAUCAGCAGCAUGAAAAUGGACUCAUACAAUGAUCCAUUACCUAGGGUAAAAUUCUCCUGAAUGUCAAACAGAGAUAAACUACAUUUGGGUUUUGGGUAAGUCCCCUGUAAUGAUGAAUCAAGAAUCCUCAAGUCUGUCUUGCCACCCAUUUAAUACGUAUUUUUGUUAAGGCUGAAGUUUAGAGUUAGAAUCAGGACAUUUUGGCCUAUUGAGAGGUUCUGAAUUCCAACAGAAGAUGCCAUGUAAAUCAGUGAAUUUGAUUCUUUUAAAAGCAACUUACAAAAUUUACAAGAUGUAUUCAAUAAAGCAGUUUAGCUUUGGUAUAUCAAACCUUAUAAUGAACCAUUUUUCCCACUUCAUCUUAUGCAAUGUUUAAUAUUUUCUAUUUUUGUCAAGGAUAUUAAACCUACACCUGGAAACAUAUUAAAUGCCAACUUAAAAUGUGAGAAGUUUGGCAGAACUCAGACCCAUUCUUCCAAUUUCCAAGCUGUUUAAUCACACUGAUUCAGACACUCUGGAUAGCAGCUGGGAUUGUAGUUAUCUUUAUGCUUUGAGCUCUCUAGUUUUGUCUACACAUCUUAUAAAAUAUCCCCUCCUCAUUCUCCUCUAGCUGGAACACUAACCCAAUGGAUGUUGUGGUGAACUUUCUUUGACCAGGCAGAGAAGUGCAGCAUUGGGUGGACCAUGCACAACCAGUUUGAGAAGCACUGCUCUAGGGGUUGGGGGAGCAACAAUAGAAAGAGUGUAGGUUCUGAAUACCUGAAGCAUACAUUUUAGCUCUAGACUGCUUAUAUUGUUGUUACAUGAAAGAGAACUUUUAAUCUGGUUUAAACCACUGGAUCUCUUUAUUCCAGCAAGUGAAUCUAUAUCCAACUAAUAUUUACUCCCAGUCUGUUCUUUCUCACCCCUCUUUCCCUUACUAUAAACCUUUUCUAUAUCAAUUUAUAUCAUUAGUUGCUCAGCCCACAAACCAGAUGUCACUUUUGUUUUCUCUUUUCCUUCCCAUUCAUAGCCAGGCCAUCGUUGUGACUUAUUGGCUGUACCUCCAAAAUAUAUCCCAGAUCUGAUCUCUUCUUAUAAUUUGUACUGCUACAACCUUAGUCAAAGCCACUAAUAUCUCUUAUCUGAACUCCAGUGGUUUACUAGUUUUCUGCCUCUCUUCUUGACACAAUUCAUCUUUCUACAUAGCAGCCAGAGUAAGAUAAAAUCAUAAAUCAGAUCAUAUAACUUCUACCCCCUGUACCAAUGGCUAUCUUUUAUACUCAGAAUAAAAUCCAAAACCUUUAUUUGGCUUCCAAGAUCCUACAAGAUAGAGACCUUACUUCUCAUCUUGUACCCAUCAUUUGAUCUUCAGUCCCUUGAAAAUGCCAAGUCUAUUUCCAUUUCAGGGCCUUUGUGCUUGUUACUAUUGUUUCUUUUCUCUUGGAAAACUGCCCAGAUCUUUCCUUAGCUGAAUUAUUCAGAUCCCAACUCAAAUAUCAUCUCUUUAGAAAAUUCUUUCAGAACCAGGUGUGGUGGUGCACACCUGUAAUCUCAGCUACUCGAGUGGCUGAGGCUGAUGGAUUUCUUGAGCCCAGAAGUCUGAGGCCAGCCUGGGCAAUAUAGCAAGAUCCUGUCAAAAAGAAAAAGGUAUCUCACCAUGAUUAUAUUUUAAUUUCCCUUCAGCAAUUAGAAGUCCCUGAAAUUAAUUUACCUUAUUUGUUGGCAUUUGUUGGCAUUGUGCAAGUAAUGCUUGCACCCAG
rnacentral:lncRNA from 1 species